GAACCUGGAAGCACUUCACUAAGUUACUGAGGCUGGCUUUGAACUUGUGAUCCUCCUACCUCAGCCUCUGGAGCACUGGGAUUACAGGCCUGCGCCACUGCACUAGAGAAGAGAUGAAAAAUGCUUGGCAUCAUUAGUCAUUAGGGGAAUGCACAUGACAGUGUAAUAAGAUACCACCACAGUGUGUUAGAAGGCAGGAAGUUAAAGAGACUAACCACAGGGGUGGGGAGAGGUUGACCUGAGCUACAGUUAGACAGGAGGAGGAAACUCGGGUGUGCUUUGCACACAAGGGUGACUACAGGUAACAAUCAUGUAUUAUAUAUGUCAAAGAACCAUGAGAGGACUCUGAACGUCUUUCCCAUGAAGAAAUGAUGAGAAGACAGAUAGGUCCACCUGAUGUAAACAUUGCUCAGUUCUCGGCAGACACAACAUCUUUGUUUGUAUGUGGUGCUGAGGAUCGAACCCGGGCCGCACGCAUGGCAGCCUCCUAGCACGGUCUGCUUCCUGAAGGUGGAGCCAUGCCGCGUGCCCACGCGAAGAUCCGUAUUCCUGGGUGCCUGCUCCGUCCUGGCGUGACCCGGGCCCACUUUCUCUGCCCUUGGUUCCCUGGUUCCCCCCCACCCCCGUCUCUCCCUCUCUCUCUGUCUCUCACACACACACACACAGCCUCUGUGGGCAGCACUCAGGGACCAGCUCCACAACCAAAAGCCAAACCACGACAGUGACGGCCCCACCCAGAAGCUGUCGGCGUGGAGGGCGGCCAUGAGGCCUGUUAUGCAAUUUCCUGCGUUGGUUUCUCAGACGCAGAGGCAGGAUGCAGAGCGCUGUGCGGAACCCAGAGAAGAAACCAGAUCCCAGUGCCCACUGUGGCUGCUCGGGCACCCUUACCCCUCAGUUCUGCAGGAAGGCCGCCCACCACCGCGGCCUAGCUAGACGGCCCGGCUGGAAGGGCCACAGAGGACAGGCCGCACAGAGACUUCCGGGAAGAAGUGGGUGGGGAGAAAGGCAUUUCCUGCCCCAAGGACCCGGGAUGGAGGGAGCUACAGCUUGGGGCCUUCUUAAUAGUAGUAACUGGUGUGAGUCACCACUCAGGCCCUGUAGGCAGGAGCGAGAGGCUGGCUCUGGGCCAGGGUUCGAAUCCUGGCUCUGCCUCUUCACAGGCACAUGCCUGAGGUGGCUCCUUGAUUCUGCUCUGUAUCUCUUCAUCUGUGAAAUGUGGGUAACACCUCCCAGUGGGACUAUGUGAGGACACUGUAGGACGCGGUGAGUUCCCUCCUGGCACGUUAUGCCAUGUCGGCCAGGAGGCAGCCACUCUGAGGAUCCCUUCCUGUAUGAGGUCUGAGUGUCUGCCAAAGCUGCACACAGGUGGCCUUGACCCCUUGGUCCACCUGGAGUAAGCCCAGACCCAGCUAACAGCCCCCUCAGAGAAGCAGGCUUCAGCUGGAGGGGAGGACUUCCCCUGGGUACAGCCCACCUGCCCCCCCCGGCAGGUUUGGAGGCCUACAGGGUGGGCUGAGGAGAACCCAGUCUGAACUCUGAUCACCCCAGACAACAGGUUCUGCUGUUUGUCCCAAAGCCAAGCUGCUCUCAAGUCCCAGCUUGACUGCCAGCUUGCCACCCUCCUCCAUGCAGGGCACUGACCACCUCCUCCACCUAGAUGCUGGCCAGGGGCACUUCUGGGUGCAGAGAUCCCCCAGCUGUGGACAGGAGCAGCUGUGCUGAGGGACUGGCUGGCCUCCCCACCUGCAGGUCCUCAGCACCAGAACCCCAGCCUCACACCGUCCUCCCCUACCAGUGGCCCCGUGGCCACCACACCAAGCCAUCAUCCCCGAAAUGAAUCACCACCCCAGAAACACCCAGAUCCUAGCCAGGCCUACUUUAAAAUUAACUUUAUUUCUCUU